CCCUGAUACCCUGUGUAAAAGGAAGUUUGGAAGGCAGCUGACUUCUCCAAAGAGCUGUGGCAGGUCAAAAACACAGCCAGGAUUUCCAAUCUACUGAACCACAGAGCAUAGGGGGGGUCCACUCUGAACAUGUGGCAUGAAGAGGUCACUUGAUCCUGAAAAAUGCACAGAAUCCAUCUUCAUCAUGUUUUUAAUUAAAUUUUCCAUUUAUUCAAAAUGCAGGUGGGAUCUGAUCCAAACACUGGAAAGCUGAACUCUUGAGUACCAGCUUCCACUUCUUGUCCUGGACUCAACCGAAGCUUUUCUGGAGAAGAAAUCUCUGAACACCAUGCUCACUAUUUUCACUGGAAUGACAAAACAUGCUUUCUUUGAAUUUUACAAUUGGCACAAAAGCACAUGUGACAGCAGUUUCACAACACACAUGUCCUGCAACACAAUCUGGCUUGCAACAGCAGAAACUGAAACUGGAGAAGGGCAUUUCAUAUCCGGCAGACAAAAGUGGUGAUAUCCAAGACUUCCUGAGUUCCUGUGCCUUGAUUCUGUAACAUUUUGUUGAUUUGACUGUGAGUUAUGACUUGCAAAAGCAAAAUAGAACUUCGGUUUUUAUUUCUGGAAGCUGCCCUGGCCUGAAGCCCAAGACCCAGCCUUCCACUUCCUUCAUCAGUCCAUACCUCCCACUCCGUUACGGGUUCUGGUUUUGCCAUGCCACAUCCCUUGGACAGAGGGAUGCGUCUUCAUGGGCCAGCAAGGAAAACUUACAAGGAAAAUACUCAUAAAUUUCGUUUGCUAUAGAAUCUCGUGAAUGGGAACCCCCAAAGGAAACUUUUUAUCAUGGUCUUGCAGCUGUGCUGUUCAUCUGCUGGAAGAAUAAAAAGACUGAUGGUCUUACUCUUUUAAUAGACAUAAAAAUAAGGGCAGUUUCAAGUUCACUUUGUUGGUCCAGACUGAACAAGAUGGGACCUUGCAGCAACUAUCAACCUGUCUGCUCACAAAAAGUCAGAAUGCCAGGAUUAAAGGAAAGAAAAGUGAAGGAGGAGAAAGUGUUCUUGUGACCUAAUGAGACCUAAAUGCAGAACAGCAAACAGAGAAGACAGCGGGGAAAAUUCUACCCUCUGAGGAUGCGGAGGCAGCCAUGGUAACCUGUGCAUUCAUGAUGCACAUGAGCUGGCUGUGAAAAUGAUGGCCUUGCAAAAAGUGUCCAGACUUCACUUUGAAGAAACACAUCCAAUAAAGCAAGACAUAAUUGUAACACUGUACUAUCUGGCAUCAGACAAGCUCUGUUGAAAAAUAAAUUAAAACUUUGGGAGUUCAUGUCCAAAUACCUUCUUUAGCUUGGUUUAAACUUUGUUUAGAACUGGUCUUGAAGAAGGGAUCUUUAUUUAUCACAUUAGACAAUAUGUAUGAGGUGUGAUCCAUUAAGAUAUUAUACAUAUUUUUCUUCAAUUUAAACUAUUUCCUCUGAAGGUAUAUUACUAAUAAAUUACUAGUAAGGAAAUCUUUGCCUGAGGAUGAAAAUUUCAAUUUGCAUCUUUACCACAACUUUUGUCAUUAAUAAUUGUUAUGGAUCUGGCAGGUGUCCAUAUUUUCACAAAGUCUACAUUUAGACUCUAAACAGAAUUCAUGUAAUGUUGGCAGAUGUUCAGAUAUCAAGGCAGAGAGUGCAGAGGCAGCCACAGAGAAUGAUUGAUCUGACAGGAUAUCUGUGAAUUGUUGUAUGAAGGAAAACAAGCCUGUUUAUCAAACAAGGUAUUUACCUUCAUGUUCCAGGCAACUUUCUAGAAAUGCUGAAAUUCAGUAUAAUUCCAGGGUGAUACUUAAUACAGUGAAUCAAGAUAUCACAGUAUGUGCUGGCAGUACCUCAUGAAAGUCAAUGUGUUGAGCUCAAGUAACCUUUCCAUUGUACACAUGAACUGAGUAUCUGCUUGCUGUGUUUAGUGUUUGUCACAUCCUUGAAAGAUGAGGUGAAACUGAAGAUAGACAUUUUCAGGUCCUCUUUUUCCUGUUAUCACUGUAUGUAAUAAUGAGAUAUUGAAAUUGGAGCCAAAUCUACGUUUCCAAACGUAAAAGGGAAUAAAUCAGGCUUUUUAGCAAAGUAACUAUGCCAGCAAAAACUCUGUGGUGAAGGUCAGAGAAGGCUUUUCUGGAUUAAUAAUCUUAGACAUACAAUUACCACAACAAGAUGUAUAGAAAAAUAAGUCUGAGAACAUGGUAUAACCAGGUAUAUUUGUGUCACAGCUACUCAAAAUUAAUCUUGAUUUGUCAAAAGGUCUUCUGAUUUGCUUGGACGCACAGAUUGCCUUAAAGGUAACUGAAUAUAACUGGUGAUAUUUCAGUGAAUAACUUGACUAGAGUUAUUUGACAUUUAGUAGGAGGUUUCUGUGUUUUUCUAGGAGAAGAAGAUGUGUACAUCUGUGCUGCUAAACAGCUCUGAUCUAUGCCAGUUGUCAUGGUUUGUUGAGUUGAAUAGAAUCUUAGCUCACUUGGUGCUGGCCUGUUAAAACUGGAGCCAUGGAUUAUGUGCAGAGUGACAAUUAUCCAAAAACUCAGAGGGUUGUUUUAUUAACCCAAGCCAUGGAGCUGAGUGUUUUCUGCAGUGCACAUUGUAUCCUGGAACAGUCACUGUGCUGCACGAGCUGAAGGUUCCCUUGUAUUUUAUGAAACUGAGUGAAAUUUUAGGAAUUGUUUCUCUGCACCUCCAGCUUGAUUCUGCAGACACUUUCAGGCAGUUUUGUGGGCUGUAAUGCCUCUUUGCUCAUUUGGUCAUUGCCCAGUUUACUGUGUUCAUGGGAAAGGGAAGAGACAAAGGAUUCAGUGUGUCAGCUUUAGAAGGUGAUGGAUGGUGCUGGUGCAUCAGCCUGGCUGGAAAUGUCUGCUCAGCAGAACCUCAGCAAUCCUGCAGUGGAUGGGACCGAAAAAGAAAUUGUGAGAAUGCUCCUUUCAUGUUAGCAUUUAACUUCCAAAUGGAUCUCAAAUAUGUCUAUGGAAUGUGACAAGGGUUCAAAGCAGCAUGUAAUGGAUUCUGUAACUGGAAUUCUCUAUUACACCACUCUUUGACUUCUUCCAGCGCCCUGUAAGAACAGUUCUACAAAGAAUGGAAUGGGUCACAUUACACUGACUUUUUGUUGUUGUUGUUUGGUUUUGUUAGGACAGUUUAUACAAAUGCUGUGCCUGAAAAUCCGUGCAAGGUCAACUGACAUGGAAAAAAUGGUGGUGGUGGGGUUGGGCAGGAAACAAAAAAGUUGUUUAAAUUAACAACUUCUGGACUUAACAGUAUUUUUGUGACACUUGAUCAGAGUGUAGCCAGAAGCUACAACACAGAACCAGCAGGUUUGAAUCUCAUGAAAGAAAAGACUAAGAUCAAGUCUAAUUAGCUUUCAUUUAUAAAGAGGAAAAGAAAGAAAGAGAAGUUUACGGACACUCUCCUUCAGGACGUUCCACACUGAAGUGUUUACAGCCUGUAAACUAAUAAAAACAGACAGCUACACACAAGGCCAUCAAUAUAAGGCUUGUUGAGUGGAGAGGGUAAAGCUUAUUUCCCUCACUCUGAAAUGGAUUGAACCUUUUUGUUGCAUUUAUUUGUCUGUCUUGAAGAGAAUAUAGUUAUAUUCAGCUCUCAGAAAAGGCUUAUAUGGGUUGCAUGUGGGAUGGACUAUUGUCUAAGCUCAAAUUUUAUCUUUGUCCUCCUGUUUGUCUUUAAAUGGUCUGCAAAUUUAUUUGAAAUUUCCUGGGUUAGCUGACAACAGCAUCUUCCAAGGAGAUGAUCUUUCCUUACUCCAACUUCAUCUAAAAAUGCUGCUCCCUCUAGUCAGCUUGAGUAAAAAAAUUACAACAACAAAACCUCCUCCCUGCCCCAAAAGGCAGCUUUUCCAGGGCUAACACACAGCGAGGGUCUGACCCUUUAAAUGGAGAGAAAAAAUAUGCUGGAAGGUGGAAGAGGGAAAGUGCAGUUCUUUCCUGCAUGGUCUGGUAUUCAGAAGGUGAAUGUUGGUCCCCAAAAACUAUACCACUAAUCCUGCUAUUUUACUUUUCCCUUUUUCCAGUCCAAAGCAGGAGGAAUUUUUACACAAUCUUCAUUCCCAUACUUCCCCUGUGACCAAAAGUACUAUUUCUUUUCAUUUUCUGUUUCCAAUAAGGUUUUCUUUUUAUUUCCCAGAUCUCAGCUUUGAAGUCAGACUUGAACACCCAAAUCUUGACCAAUUUUCUUAAUGCUUUAAAAAGACCUGCCAUUUCCAUGAAAAACUGUGCUACAUUAAAUAUGAAUACUUCUGCAUCCAUUUCCUGCAAGCAAGUCACCUCAGCUGAUGCCCCUCAAGUCUUGGCAUGAAAUUGAUAUGUCUGUGCAUUUUUUAAAAAUUUACUCUGAACAUUUUUGUAAGCUGGAAGGGUGAGGUUUGGAGGGGUAACAAGAAGGUUUGAAACAGAAGCUCUGUUAAUGUGAUUGAGUUUGUUUCAGACUUGUGUGCAGUUGCCAGUUAAAUGUAGUGCUUAGGUAUCUUCUGCACCAAACAAGACUAGGACAAGAGAACCAGUUUUGUUGUUUGUCCCUAGAUCAUAUGUGAGAUUUUAAUCCUCUUUUUCCAAACAUUCUUUUUUUUCUUCUCACUGGUUCUUUAUAAUUGCUUUCAAUAUAUAGUGAGCACUAUAAACACAGAAUCCUGCUCAGUGUGUGACAAAAGGACUUCUGAUCUGCAUGUGGCAACAAUUCACAAGUUGUAGUUUGCUCCUACGUACUCCCAUAACAGAGGGACCAAGAGAUUCAAACUCAGCUGGUGCUGUGGCUCUAGAAAUAUUGUAUUAGUGCUAAAGUGUCUUUGCAUUGCUUUUAUUAAACAAAUACUGCUUUGGAAAGUAAAGCUCUCAUCUGCUUCCCACUGGACAAAUAUAAAAACCAUUUUCUUCCUUUUCUCUGAACUCUUACUGUGCAAGCCAUGUGGUUCUCCCCACUGUGAUCUGUUUUGCAAAAGAACCCUAUUAAUUGAGGAUGUUUUUCAGUAUUGCCUAAAGGUCACUACAAUCAAUUAUGGAGAAUAUUUGUAAAAGAGAAAUCUUGCCUAUAAAGCAAUAUAUCCCGAGUGUCUAAUUUGUUCACUGUAAUAAGGCCAUGCCUAGUUAUUGAUUAAUCAGUCUUUGUUGUCUGUUUGCUGAUUAUAUCAGGAAGUCUCUUAAUGUAAUGGAAUAUCAUAUACAGAUUGGUUUGCAAAAAUAUUUAUUUCUCCUAUUAUACUGCAUGUGUUCAACCUGAGGAGAUUAUUUUUCCAGGAUAGAUCAUUUUGAUUUGUUGUGGCAAGCCUAGAACUGAAAAUGGAAGCAUAUUUGGGUUUGAAACAUGAAUAGAAACAUGACUAAGGUCAUCAACACAGAAUUUUUUCUAUUUUGAUCCGAUUUGUAAAUCAUUACCUGAUGUAUUCCAUUCAAAAGUCUUAAUGUUAUGCAAUUAUACUGCAUCAAGAUAUGCAGUGCAGGAGUGUAAUUGAUCAAAAUGAAACUUAUGUUGUACGCCAAAAAAAUGGUUGUGGAUACAUUCAAAGUGGUUCUCAGGCUAUAUUUAAAAGUGUAACAUUUGGCUGUUUUUUUAAAUCAUAGAAAGGAAGCCAAGCAUAUUAAAAUUAAUUCAUGUUCAUGUGCUCGAUAUAAUUAAGGUUUUUAUCUUGUCAUGAAUCUUAGUGUGAUUUGUAGGACACAGAGUAGUGGCAGGAGUUAUGUACAUAGAAGAUGUUUUAAGUUAUAGUAUAAUUAUCAUUAUCUCUGUUGGCAGGAGUGCAUCAUUUCCAUUAAAUAACAUGCCUUGUUUCA